CCUACGGGUGGCAGCAGUGGGGAAUAUAGGACAAUGGGCGAAAGCCUGAUCCAGCCAUGCCGCGUGUGUGAAGAAGGCCUUCGGGUUGUAAAGCACUUUCAGUGGGGAAGAAAGCCUUGGGGCUAAUACCCUCGAGGAAGGACAUCACCCACAGAAGAAGCACCGGCUAACUCCGUGCCAGCAGCCGCGGUAAUACGGAGGGUGCGAGCGUUAAUCGGAAUUACUGGGCGUAAAGCGCGCGUAGGCGGUCUGAUAAGCCGGUUGUGAAAGCCCCGGGCUCAACCUGGGAACGGCAUCCGGAACUGUCAGGCUAGAGUGCAGGAGAGGAAGGUAGAAUUCCCGGUGUAGCGGUGAAAUGCGUAGAGAUCGGGAGGAAUACCAGUGGCGAAGGCGGCCUUCUGGACUGACACUGACGCUGAGGUGCGAAAGCGUGGGUAGCAAACAGGAUUAGAUACCCCGGUAGUC
rnacentral:rRNA from 1 species